rnacentral:rRNA from 1 species
UACAGAGGGUGCGAGCGUUAAUCGGAAUUACUGGGCGUAAAGCGCGCGUAGGCGGCUUUGCAAGUCGGGUGUGAAAUCCCCAGGCUUAACCUGGGAACUGCAUUCGAGACUGCAUUGCUAGAGUAUGGGAGAGGGAAGUGGAAUUUCCGGUGUAGCGGUGAAAUUCGUAGAUAUUCGGAAGAACACCAGUGGCGAAGGCGACUCACUGGACACGUAUUGACGCUGAGGUGCGAAAGCGUGGGGAGCAAACAGG